AGUCGAUGGUGAGGGCACUCUUGGAGUAGAUCUUUGAAUCUUUCCAUGAAUUUGGAAAAUGAUUCAUUAGGCUUUUGCCUAAACUGAAGAAUGCCAUUUCUCAUUUU
rfam:Cephalotus follicularis DNA, scaffold: scaffold970, isolate: St1.